GCCCGGUUAGCUCAGUCGGUAGAGCGCAAGGCUCUUAGCGUGCCCCCAUGGGGCAGCUGGUGCCACCUUGUGGUCGUGGGUUCGAGCCCCACAUUGGGCG
rnacentral:tRNA from 1 species